CGGGGUGUAGCUCAGUUGGUAGAGCGCUCGGCUGGGGGUCGAGAGGUUUUCGCAGGUUCGAGCCCUGUCACCCCGA
rnacentral:tRNA from 1 species